rnacentral:rRNA from 1 species
CAGUAGCCGCGGGAAUACAGAGGGUGCAAGCGUUAAUCGGAAUUACUGGGCGUAAAGCGCGCGUAGGUGGUUUGUUAAGUUGGAUGUGAAAGCCCCGGGCUCAACCUGGGAACUGCAUCCAAAACUGGCAAGCUAGAGUACGGUAGAGGGUGGUGGAAUUUCCUGUGUAGCGGUGAAAUGCGUAGAUAUAGGAAGGAACACCAGUGGCGAAGGCGACCACCUGGACUGAUACUGACACUGAGGUGCGAAAGCGUGGGGAGCAAACAGGAUUAGAUACCCGAGUAGUCCCUGUCUCUUAUAC